CCGACCUCGGAUCAGACGAGACUACCCGCUGAACUUAAGCAUAUCAGUAAG
rnacentral:rRNA from 1 species